rnacentral:lncRNA from 1 species
GUGAAGGGUUAAGAGUAGGGGGGAGAUUGGUAGUAGAAGAGUGGAGAUUAGGCGUAUAUAAAAGUAUAGGUUAAGUAGGGUUAUGAUAGUUAUAAUAGAGGGGAUGAGGAAGUUGUUGUUCAUUGUGAGUUCUUGGAUGAUAAUUCAUUUAGGUAGGAAGCCGGUUAGGGGUGGUAGGCCUCCUAGAGAUAUGAGAAUGGGUGCUAUUAGCGGUGCUAGGUGGGUUGAUUUGUUUCAGGUGCGGGAUAGUAUGAGGGUUGUGGUGCUUGAGCUUAAGUUGAGGGUUAGGAAUAUGGUAGUUGUUAGGAUAAUGUAUGUAGUUAAAUAGAAAAUUGUAGUUGCUGGGUUGUAUACAAGUGUUAUCAUUAUUCAACCCAUGUGUGUGAUUGAAGAGUACCCUAGGAUCUUGCGUAAUUGUGUUUGGUUUAGACCUCCUCAACUGCCUACCGCAAUGGAUAGGGUGGAGAGGGUUAGGAGGAUGUGGGUGUUGAUUGAUGGGUGAAUUUGGUACAUGAUUGAGAUGGGGGCUAGUUUUUGUCAUGUAAGAAGGAGUAGACCUGAGGUUAGGGGUGUUCCUUGGGUGACUUCUGGGACUCAGAAGUGGAAGGGGGCUAUUCCUAGUUUUAUGGCGAGGGCGGUUGUUAUUAUUAGGGAUGGGGGUUGGCUGAUGUAGUUCGUUGUUGUUCAGCACCCUGAUAGCAGGUUGUUGGAGAUGAUUGCUAUUAUGAGGACUAUAGAUGCGGUAGAUUGAAUUAGGAAGUAUUUAGUAGCGGCUUCUGUGGAGCGGAGGCUUGUUUUUUUUAUUAAGAUCGGAAUGAAAGCUAGUAUGUUUAUUUCUAGGCCUGUUCAGGCGAGAAAUCAGUGUGAGCUUAGUGUUGUGAUAAGUGUGCCUGUGAUUAUUGUGGUGUAGAUAAUGGGUUGAGCUAGUGGGUUAAUUAGUACGGGAAGGAUGUGACCAACAUUUUCGGGGUAUGGGCCCGAUAGCUUGUUUAGCUGACCUUACUUUAGGAUAGAGUGUGUAGGGUAGCACGGAGAAGUUUGGAUUCUCAGGGGUAGGUUCGAUACCUACAGUCC